rnacentral:rRNA from 1 species
UACGGGGGGUGCGGGCGUUGUCCGGAAUCACUGGGCGGAAAGGGCGCGUAGGUGGUUUGAUAAGGGUGUGGUGAAAGUCCGGGGCUCAACCCCGGAUCUGCCGUGCCGACUGUCAAACUCGAGGACUGUAGAGGCAGACGGAAUUCCGGGUGUAGCGGUGGAAUGCGUAGAGAUCCGGAGGAAGACCGGUGGCGAAGGCGGUCUGCUGGGCAGUUUCUGACACUGAGGCGCGCCAGCGUGGGGAGCAAACAGG